UUUUAGAGUUUGAUCCAUGGCUCAGGAUGAACGCUAGCGACAGGCCUAACACAUGCAAGUCGAGGGGUAACAGGGGCUUCGGCCCGCUGACGACCGGCGCACGGGUGAGUAACGCGUAUGCAACCUACCUGUAACAGGGGGAUAGCUCCCUGAAAGGGGAAUUAACACCGCAUAAGACUACGCUUUCGCAUGGGAGUGUGGUAAAAUAUUUAUAGGUUACAGAUGGGCAUGCGUGACAUUAGCUAGUUGGCGGGGUAACGGCCCACCAAGGCAACGAUGUCUAGGGGUUCUGAGAGGAAGGUCCCCCACACUGGUACUGAGACACGGACCAGACUCCUACGGGAGGCAGCAGUGAGGAAUAUUGGUCAAUGGGCGCAAGCCUGAACCAGCCAUGUCGCGUGCAGGAAGACGGCCCUAUGGGUUGUAAACUGCUUUUGUAUGGGAAGAAAGUUAGCUACGUGCAGCUAUU
rnacentral:rRNA from 1 species